rnacentral:rRNA from 1 species
GACAACUCUAUCUGACUAGUCUUAUUGCAGGGUUCCUCCUUCCUUAAGACCGGCGGCGGAUAGUAAACCUCUUUCGCCAGGGACGAAAAUGUCCGGUCCAGUACAAUGAGCUCCUGACGGUUCCGUGACAAUAAGCCCCGGCUAACUACGUGCCAUAAGCCGCGGCAAUAUGUAUGGGGCUAACGUUAAUCGGAAUUGCUGUGCGUAAAGGGUGCGCAAGCGGCCCGGUCAAACCGAUAUGAGACCCCCAAACUCGAUCUGUGAAAUGCCUGUGAGACUACAGGACUUCCCUGUGUUAAAGGGAAAUUGAAUUCCUUUCGUAAGAAUGACAUGCGUAAAUAUGUGUAAGAAUACCUGUGUCGAAGGCAACCCCCUGAAACAGUAUGGACACACAUGAACAAAAUCCUGGGGAGCCCACAGCAUUAAAUACCCUGGUAAUCCACUCCCUAAACGAUAUCCACUAGUGUGUCGGGUCUCUCCUUACCUUAUUCCCCCCGGGAGACCUGUGACUAAACUCAAA